CUGUUGUGAUUAUCGGAGGGAAGUGGAGCCAGUGCAAUUUGUCCAUGUUUUACAAAUCACCAUCUGGCAGGGAUAUGGCAACAUGUGAAAUCUUCACAGGACUCUUGUUUUUCUACUAUCUGCUGGAUAACUAAGGAGAUCACCAGACUGCUGGGAUGCCUGCCAGAUGGUAAGCAGGUAAGUGACCAAACUUGAAAGGAGAGAUGAGAUAGAAGGCCUGAGCAGGACAAUGACCAUAGAAGAUAUUAGAAGCAGUGUUCACUCCAAAAAAUGUCAGACACAGUAUGAUGUCCAUCUCUCAGAGCACGUUCUGGAGGUCUAUUCUCCUUACCUGCCUCUGUAAACCUGGGACCAUAUGAUUUGUAAGUAAAAUUUCUUCACAUCCUGUGUGUCCUGAUAUCUGUAUCCCUUAGUGUUUCAUCUUUCGUGUAAUUUACAACGCCAAUGCUCCCAUGCCUUCUUAUUUGAUACAUAUUCCUCCCACAAGAAAAACUC